UACGAAGGGGGCUAGCGUUGCUCGGAAUCACUGGGCGUAAAGCGCACGUAGGCGGCUUCUUAAGUCAGGGGUGAAAUCCUGGAGCUCAACUCCAGAACUGCCUUUGAUACUGGAGUGCUUGAGUCCGGGAGAGGUGAGUGGAACUCCGAGUGUAGAGGUGAAAUUCGUAGAUAUUCGGAAGAACACCAGUGGCGAAGGCGGCUCACUGGCCCCGGUACUGACGCUGAGGUGCGAAAGCGUGGGGAGCAAACAGGG
rnacentral:rRNA from 1 species